rnacentral:rRNA from 1 species
CUUGGCAAUGUGCGAAAGCACGACAAGGUUAAUCCGAGUGUCUCCUGCUAAAGGAGUCUUUUGUCAGUUGUAGAAUCACUGGUGAAUAAGGGGUGGGCAAGUUCUGGUGUCAGCCGCCGCGGUAAAACCAGCACCUCGAGUGGUCAGGAGGUUUAUUGGGCCUAAAGCAUCCGUAGCCGGUUGCAUAAGUUUUCGGUUAAAUCUAUGCGCUUAACGUAUAGGCCGCCGAAAAUACUGUGCAGCUAGGGAGUGGGAGAGGUACACGGUACUCGAUAGGAAGGGGUAAAAUCCUUUGAUCUAUUGAAGACCACCUGUGGCGAAGGCGGUGUACCAGAACACGUUCGACGGUGAGGAAUGAAAGCUGGGGGAGCAAACCGGAUUAGAUACCCGGGUAGUCCCAGCUGUAAACGAUGCAGACUCGGUGAUGCAUUGGCUUGUGGCCAAUGCAGUGCCGCAGGGAAGCCAUUAAGUCUGCCGCCUGGGAAGUACGUACGCAAGUAUGAAACUAAAGGAAUUGGCGGGGGAGCACCACAAGGGGUGAAGCCUGCGGU